rnacentral:lncRNA from 1 species
GCAAUUAAUUCAAAGAAAUGGAUUAAAGUUUUGCCCUCAUGAAUUUGGACAUGACCCCAGAUACUGUUUGUGUACUUUACUGGGAUUCCUUGGUACAGCUUUAUAAUUCUGGAAUGACUCUUACUGCUUCUGUCUUUGGAGCAUGGCUGUGCAUAUGAAGCUACUGAGAAGAGUGGCCAAAGCAAUUUGGAAGGAAUGACUCUUCACAAGAUUUAGUUCCGUCUCAUACUUCCAGGGCUGGUGAAAGGAAAUCUCUCAUUUCUAAAAGAGAAUUUCAGCUGUUCUGAACUUCAAAAGGUGAUAUAUUGUGCUUUCAUCAUCAAUCAUCAUCAUCAUCAUCAUCAUCCUGAGAAAGUCUAAAACAUAAUUACAGAACUUUAAGGAUAUGACCAAGUGCUGAUCUCAUCUUAAUAUUGUUGCUGGCUAUAUGAUGAACACCUUUGAUCUGCAAAAUCAGAUCGUCAGCUCAGGGAAGUAUUUUUCUAUGUGCAUAACUUUUAUUUUGAUUUCAGUACUUCUUUCUCAUUUUCAUUUGUCUGUGAUCUAAGAGAGGGAUUCUGUCUUCUCCUUUACACAGGUAAUUCAGUUUCCACAGUAAUGAUUCUACUCUUUAUUGGUUAUAAUGCAGUUUAAAAUUUUAAUUAUAGUAAUAUUAGUCUCUUCCUAUUUUUCAUAUUUACCUAGUUCACUUUAUUUUUCUGUAUAUGACAAUGAUCUAAUCUUUCUCCUUUGUCUCAGAGUUGUUUUAUUGAAAUUUAUUAUGAGCACAAAGCAGGUGCUAUCUGAAUUUGAUUUCUGUUUUAAUAUAUAAUUUUUUCAGGUAGAUAGGUACUCUGUCUCUGUUUUUUGAUUACAGGGUUAUCUACCUUGGUUUUGCAGAAUCUUUUCAUAUAUUCUAUAUUGUUUAUCCAUCCUUGAACAUGAAGAGAUUGAGUUAGGCCUGACAUUAAGUAUAAAUCAGGUAGGAAGUUUCUGUGUGGGUCCUCAAUUCCUAAUAUGCCUAAAUCCAUUAGGUUAGACUCUUCGGUGUUUAGAUUGGAGGACUAGCUGAUGUAAGUUUUCAUGGUUAGGUCAGUGAUCUCACCAGCCAGUUAGGCAUGGAGAAAGAUGUAGGGCUUUAGGAAAGUCCAGAAGAACCAAUUUGUCUCUGAACCAUUACUCCCUGAGUUUGGUGAGGCAUGGGCACUGGGAGUGACCUUUUUGUGUCUGUUGUAUCCACUGCGUCAGCUUUUGCACCUACUCUGUGUCCCUGUCUGAUCUCUUUACUACUGUCCAAGGCUCAGAAGAGCUCCCCAAUACUAACAGAUGCCAGUCAUUCUGGAAUUUUCCCUUUAAUAGGCCACACUUACUUUUAAUAUCCCUCAAAGAGCUGCUUAUCAUCCAUGGUGGUGAAGUGGUUCCUAAUGGAAAGUUCUCUAUUUCUUCUGCUAGCUACCAUUGCAAAGGAAAAGAAAUAAAAAUCUAAUUCUCCCUCCUCCCUUUAGGGAGUGUGAGUGUGUUCUAUCUAUUUGCUUAAUAAAUAUGCGUUAAAUUUAAUUAUUGUUGAAUUGUCUUCCUACAGUUUUAAGUAGAAUGACCCCUCCUACGUACCAACAACAACAAAAAAGAUUAUCAGAAAUUUCUGGAAAUACAGCUUUUGUAAAAUAACACUUCUGACAACCAAUCUAACAACUUCAGUGAUGAUAUUGCUUAGGGAAGUUCAGGAGUCUAAUUCUACAGCAAAUUUCAGGUGGAAUGUCCUUCUUAAGGUAGCCACCCACCAUCGCAGGUCAGUAAGUAACAGUGACUUUCACUCUUUUAAAGGAAAAACACUAAUGCAAAUGUUGAUCAACAUCUAUUAACAAUGACUGAGCAAUGCUCAUUGCUUGGAAAGGUGAGAGGGUUAAAAUUUGAAUCAUUUUCUGAGGAAACCUGUUCAAGUCAGGCUAUAACUUCAUACUUCUGAGAGCAUGACAGGAUUGUAUCCCUAGGAUUUUUCUUCAAAUCUCUAGAUUCUACUUUUUCCGCCUUGUUUUUUGUUUCUCUUGAGCACUUCCAUGCCCAGACUAGGAGGCUAUUUUAGUAUCACUGUUCCGUAAAUUCUUUAGAUUAACCUUUAGUGGCACCAAAAUAGCCUAAGUAUGUGGAUAUACAGAUCUUAAUUAAUUUUUAAGGCAUAAUAGAGUUCCUAGAUACAAUAUAUGUUUUAAAAAAGAAAAGAAUUAGAAAACAGCUUAUCUAAGGAACUUACAAAUCAAUAAGAUAAACAACCAUACCAAAUGAGAAGCAGAAAAUAUAAGCAGACAUUUCACAGAAGAAAAAAUCCAGGUGAUCACAAACAUAGAAAGAGACAGCCUUACUAAUACCCAGAGAAAUACAAAUUAAAACAUCCUGAUGACAUUUCACAACAGUAAAAUUGACAGAGUCUAGGAAGUUUGUUAAAUGAAGUGUUGGUAGGGGAAAAGAAACUCUUAAUCACUGAUGGCAGAAGUACCAAUUGAUACAACUGCUUUGGACAGUGAUUUUGUGAUAGUAAGCAGAGUCGACUAUCUAUCUAUCUAUCUAUCUAUCUAUCUAUCUAUCUAUCUAUCUAUCUAUGUCCUAUGACCUUCCAUUUGGCUUCUGGGUUUCCAUCCUAGCGAAAUCUUUGUACUUCUCUGAGCCAUUCUUUUAAUAACAAUAAAUUGGAAAUGACUCAGAUGUCUAUCAGCAAGAGAAUGGAAACUACUAAACUGUGGUAUAUUGAUGAAGAUGGAAUGUUAUGCAAUACCAAAGUAAAUGAACAUUCUCAUAUGUCAACAUGGACAGGUUUUAAAGGCAGUGUUGAAUGAGAAAAAGGGAUUACAUUUUGAUACCACUUAUUUAAAUUUAAAAUGGCAAGCAAUGGUAAUACAGCAUUUAAUGAAUAUAUGUGAAUAUAUACACAUUGUAUGAUUAUAUGUGUGAAUUAAAUAUAUUUCAUUUUAGAAGAGUUUAUCUUCUAGGAUUGGAGAGAUGUAAAUGUAUCUGUGGAUGGAAAAAGAGAAGAUGGCAAUUUUCUUGUAAUGUGUGUGCCCAUUUCCUUAAAUAAAAGAGCUCUGGAAGUAAAUACUGCAAAGCAUGGCUCACUUACAAUAGUGGGUACAUUAGUAUUUGCUGUAUUUCCUUGUAAAUAUUAGGCUUUUGUAUUAAAAAAAAAAAAGGGAUCCUGUACAUAUACUCUUUGGGCCCCUAAUCUGUCACUAAAUUCUCUGCUGGUCCUAUGGGUGCCAGAACAUCAGCAACAUGCUGGAGGGCUUGCCUGUCCUUUCUGCACAUGGGAAGCUGUUUUCUAGCUCUUGAUUUUGUCUAGACAUAGUUUUUCUGCAGUGUUUUUCUCAGCUGCACAUAUGUUAAAUACCUCUGAAAAGUGACAUCAAUCCACUUUCAGGGGAGAAACAAUUUUAAAACUGCAAUUCAUCUGCAAUGAUUCUUAUUUUUAAUAUUUUAGGAUAAAUAUUAAAAUGUCAUCUAAAUGACAACAGUGCAAAUAAUGGAUUUUUAUACUCAGACAUUAUUGUUAUCUACUUCAUCUGCAAUGUUAUUUGAUACCUUAGGAGAACAAGAUUCUUUAUAAAAGUAGAUUGUGAUCUCUCUGUUUUAAAACACAACAUGAGAGGUAGACAUCUUUUCUUCUUACAUUUCCAAUCUAAUAAUCCUCCUUUUCAAUAGCCUUAGUGUUAUAAAAAAAUAAAAUUCAGAAAAAGAGUUGUACUUCUAUGGACCUCACCAGAAUCAUGUGGAGGGUUUUGAAGUGUUUUAAAGGAAAUUUCUGCCUUGCCUUAGGCUAGAGUAAGGGCUAGGAGUGAAGAGGGUGGAUCCAUAGGAAAGAAGGCUCAGCUCUGGUGUGAAGUGCUGUGGUGAUUAGAGGAAAUGACUUAUCAGUUCCUUUGUGAUCUCCAAAAGAAACCAUUUGUGAAAUCAAUGGCUGCCUGGCAGAGCCCAUCAACUGGCGGUCAAAGAUAUAUAUCUUCAUUACUAUCAGUUACCUGUGUCCUUUGGGUGGCUAGAAGGGACCUAAAUUCUAUAGGCCAGAGCACCAUCAUGAGUAAAGGCAUCACACUGAUUUACAUGCAAUUAUUAUAUGCAAGGGGAAGCUUGGCACUACUUUAUCUUACAGGAAAUCAAAUGCUGGCUUAACUGUUAUUAUCUAGACAGCUUAAUAUGUUCCUUAUGAGAAAAUUUCCAAUCUAUAUCAACCCACUUACAAGAACUAAUAGAUAGAGUGGAAAACAUAAAAUAUAAUUACUGUGGCAAUGAUGUGCACAAUCACUUCAGCUGCUGGGCUACUUUGGGAUGUUUAAACAGCUAAUGUGAAGUCAGGAAGGGGAGAACAUUUUUCUGAUUAGUGCUGUGUAGGGAAUACUGAGAAAAAGUACAUAGAAAAUGCUUGUAGCCAUGUGAAAUAGCCCAAGUGGAGCUGAAAUAAGACCCCCUUUCAUCCUACAAGUUAUUUUGGGGUUAGAAUGUUUAAAUAAAAACAAGAUGGAUAGUUCCUCAGGAUUUCAGAGCUGGAACAGAGAACCUUUUGCUGAGGCAAGGAGGAAUGGUGGAGGCAGUCACAUUCCAAUGAAAAAGUCCUCUACCAUGGAGGUUUGGCUCAGAAAGCAGUGGCUGGGCAUCUGGAGCCUGAAGACUUACACCUUUUAAUGGGGAAUACCUCUUUUUUUAAAUUUUUUUAAAUUUUUUUUUUUGGGGGGGCGAAAUAUCUCUUUAUAGGUCCUUGGAAAUUUUGGAUCCUUGUGGUCUGGCAUGGCUAGGAGAUUGCAUCGUAGUGUAAAUAAGCCACACUGGGCUUCAGCAUUUUUCUUCUAAACAAUUCAAAUAGACCUUAAGAUAGUUAUUGGGACUUUGUGGGGUGAGGGUCACAUAAAUAACAGCUCACUUGCCCCUUUGGAUUUAGAAGUCAUUGAAAAAUAUAUUACUGGAAAGGACGUGGCUAAACAUCAAAAUGCCAUGUUUAGUGGUUCAGUUGAAUUGGAACAACUUGGAUCUGCAACUACCAGUACUUUCUCUGAAUGAAGCUCACUACCCAGCCACAGGCCUCUCCUAAGGCAGGACACUCAGGUUAUAUUCUGGGACACGGCUGUUCCUAUAGUUUGAAGGCUGAGGCCCAUGGUCCAGCCCUUCUCCCCAGUUCACUCAACUACUCAGGGAGGAGAAGGAGGAGGAAGAGGAAAAAGAAGGGAGUAGUAAGAGGCAGACCCAAAUAUUUCUCCCACACUUUUCCUGCUUAAUGUUUCUCUGUAUAGAAAUAUGAAAAGUAUUAUAUUAUCUCUAUAAUGGUCCUUGACCAUAUCAAAGAUCUAUUUAUUCUAAUUACAUCUUUGGGCUAAGAUUAGUCAACAUAUAGGAAUAUAUAUUUUGGAAUUGCCAGGAGCACUCAGAUAUCAACUCUGGGAAAUUAUAAACUAACAGUUAUUGAGUAUUAGCCAUGUCAGUCUAAGCUGCUCAUCUACAGAUGCAAAAUCAAAAGCCCUUAUAAGAGCAAUUUGCUCAGGGUCAGAGUUAGUUAACUGCAGGCUGGGACCAGUAGCCAGGGUUCUUUCUCCUUGGGUAAGGCUUCCUUUUAAGGAACUGUAUUCAUAUCAGUACUGGGAUAUUACUAGUAAAUAUUUUGGUGGGAGUGGUGCUACUUACAAUCUGACAAUCUCUGUUCCAAUAACAUGUUAUCCUAUUUCAUCCUUACAAUCAUAGUGAAAUUGAUAAUAUAAUUGUUUUCAUUUAACAGAUAAAAAAAUUCAUUCUCUAAGAGAGAAGAGAGACUUGUCCAAGGUCAUUCAGCAAAUGAGUGAGGACUCAGAUCCACCCAACAUUCUUCCCUAAAUCAAAGCUAUGAAAGAUCAUUAGGGAAGAUCUUGCCUAAUCUUCCAAUUCUACUGCACGGAAACAGGAAGUAUGAUUCCAAAGAAUGGGCCUAUGAGUGCACUUCCAAACCACAGCUAAUUUUCCCUAAGAGUCUUCCGGAUGGUGGGUUUUUUGAGUACUUUCCAGAAAAAAAAAGUCAAUUAAUAUCUUACUGUUACUUGUACAUAGAAUUGUAUAUAACUGUUCAAUAAAUUGCAAAACAGAGCCUCUGGCUUCACACAUUACUGAUAAUGAACAUCAGAACUUUGGUUGGUUCAAUUAACACAUUGUAAUUUCACUCAAUGAGAUGACUUUCAAUUAAAAACUUGUUAACUGCAUACAGAGACUAGAAGAAAGGCCAAAUGCUAACAUGUGGCAUCCUUUAAUUACAUGAAGAAAUGUUUGGAAUUCAAAGGUGAUGGGAAGCAUUUUGAUCUCCGCAUAAUGAACAAUUGUUCAUUAUCAUAGUCCUAUCGAAUUCUAAUUACUUACAGGAAUUAUAUGAUCCCUUAAAUAUUAGAAGUGGCAAAUACAGUGUAUACAAUAUUUUCAUGAAGUAAGAUUACUACAGGUUUAAUAGUGAAAUACAGUGAAGUCUUCCAAAAUUUUUGUUGUGUUUAUGCAGAGUCAGUGAGGUAAACAAUACAGUUAGAAUCAGGCAGACUACCAGAUAACAUGUUGACCUUCACUUUCUUCCCACUUCCUUCAGACAAAGGAAGCUUGGGAGGAGUAACAGGGGUACCUGCAGAUAACGUUUAAAAAGGAAAGAUGGUCAAGACAUGAGCUCUUGAGCCACAGAUUUUUAACUAUAUCACUUUCCCAGAGGAAAGUUAACUUUCUAUGGGGAAAGUUAAUCAAUGCAGAACUGGAAAAUCUGCCCGGAUAAAGAAUAGUCUGUGGUGCUGAAGUUUUGGCCCCAUGUUCUAAUGUUGAACUUGAUCAGCUAGGGGUACUUGAAGGACUCUUGCUGAGAUUGGCCAGGCCCAAGCUGUCUAAAAUGAAAAGUUCAAACUGUCUAAAAUGAAAACAGGAUAAAACUUUGGCUUUUUUCUCCAAAUUUGAAGGACCCAUUCUUAAAUUUUAGCAUUUCCAUGAGGGGUUGCCUGGUCAGGAGUAUAGAUUCCAGUGAAGGAGGCCUGAGGAAGUCAGAGUCACUCAUUGGUAGGCCACAGAUCAUGGCUGGUCCAUAGACAUAUUUUGUUCGGCUUAAGUAGUGUUUAAUUCUUACCUAAUUUUAGAAUCAAGAGACUUCUACAUGAAAUAAUUGUAUUUCUAGCUCUCUUUAAAAGUCAAGAUGUAGCUAGCUUAGCUCAUGUUUUUCCUGGAGGCUGGAGCUACACUGUGGCUACCCAUUCAGGUGAGAUAUAGACUCCUCACUUUGUUUUGUUUUGUUUUUUUUGGUACCGAGGCUCGAACUCGGGUCCUUGCGCUUGCGCAGCAGGUGGCAAAACCACUGAGCUAAAUCCCCGGCCCGAUAGACCCCUCACUUUGCACAGAGCAACCCACCACCAUUUGACCCCAGCUCUAUCUGCCUCUUCACAUAUAUUAUUUGCCUGAGCCUCUAGUGUUGGGCUUUACAACUUCUGCUUGAUCUGGAUUCCUGGAGAACACUAGGAAAUAUAACCAAGUAAAGAUGCAGAGACCUUUCCACCACAACGUUAGUAGUCUGACAUAGUCAGUUCCUUGGUUUGGGGCAGUACUGUCUGUCCUUUGAAAAAAGGAGGGCAAUAAAACAUGGUGAAAAUCCUCAGAGGAAGAAAAGAGGGAGAGAAACACUGAUGCAGGUAAGUGCCUCCAGUACAGUAUCCUUCUUGGAACAGGUAGGUAAUGAACUCUCUUUGCCCUUGACUACCCCAAAACAAAUUGCCAUUUAAUUUUUUAAUUAAGCUGAAAAAAUAUCAGCCAGUGAAAAGUACAUCAAGCCAAUUCUGCUUUCUUGAACUACUUAACCAUUAACCUUCAUGCUCACAUCUACUUUGGUGAAAAGGACAUCUAUAUUUCUGGGAUAUUAAGGAAAAAAUCUUGCUCAUCACUGACUGUAAAAUGUAGUUCUCUUGCUACAUUUAUAAAACUGUACAGGUAAAAUGAGCUGUGGAUUUGAGAAUGUGGGUGACACAGGAGAGGAAAGACCAGGGAUAGCACAGCCCAUCAUCAGUAUUCAGAUUGUUGAAAUGUUGCCCAUGAAUUAAUUUGUUUAUUCAGGGCUCCCUGAGUAAUUCAUUCCCGUUAUCUUCACUUCUGAAUAAUGAGUUUGUAUCUUUUGAACUUCAUGCUAUUUCUAAAUUGGCCUUAAAACUCAUUUCACAUUUUAGAAUAAUAAUUCCUUUGUAUUAAAAACUAUGUGGACAAGGACGUAAUAAAUAAAAUCCUUUGGACCAAAGGAGACCUGAGUCAUAGUCUCUGCUCUUCUGUGAACCACUGUGUUACUCAGUGUGGUCAUACCACCUCUCUGAGCCUUACUUUUUACUUUGUAAAGAAGAUAUGAGAACUGGAUGAUCUUUCAGACUUUUUGAAAUUUUUAUAUUUUGAGAAACAAAGAAUUGGGAGAUGUUCUUAAAUUCGAGGCAGGCUGGUACCACUGGAUACUAACAAAUAAGUAAAACAUAGUAGUUUCCCUCUGGGUUUCUUUAUGCAAAGACCUAUUUUGAUCACUUUCUUUUUUUUUGAAAAAGCAUACUUAAGCUAGAAAAUCAUAAGAAAUAACACAUACUUUAGAUAUUUUAAGUUAUCACACAUUUAUUUUCUAAUAUUUCAUAGGGCUAAGGACUUUUUUUUUAUUUUUGGGUCUGUUAAUUAGUCAUCCAUUAGAAACUUUGUGACUUCUAGGACUGAUUUAAUGUGGAGCAAGAAUUUAGCCAUUGAGAAAGUUUAUAACAUUUCUUACUUGGUUUCCUUUAUCAAGAUUAAGCAUUUAACUCAGUUUUCACAAUACUGUUUUUGCCUUUGUAUUUCAUUGGUUUAGUUAAUAUUUAAUUACAUUACAUAAUUGUUAUAAUGUGUGCAAAUAGCAUAAGCAAAGACAAUAAUGCUUGGUAAGGAUAGAGCUCAUAUGGAAUGCAGGAAAGUACUGGAUUUGGGGAUACUAUACAUUAGUGAUCAACAUGUUGAGGUCCUAGUUAGUACAUGGAUAAUAAAAAGUCAAUUAGGGGUGGGGAAGUAGCUGAGUCACAAAGUACUUGUCUAUCAUGCUUGAGUCCCUGUGUUCAGUCCCCAGUACUACUAAAUAAGAAAAUAAAUAGUCCAUAAAAUGUAAGUUGAUCAAUCAGACUGCCAAAUGAAUGUUUUCUCAGUUCAAAUUGAUUGCAGGUAAACAAAACAAUCCUAAUAAACUUAGGCAAGGAAAGCAAUUUAUUGGAAGGCUCUGAGAUGACACACUAAACUGAAGGGAAAGCCAAACAGCUAGUUCUCUGAAAAAUAAGAACUUGGGAAACACUGAUUAUCUCAGGAGCAGGCACUAAUGGACAAUCUCUUCAGGGUGUCAUCACUGGAUAAAUUGGCUCCAAAUGUCUUUUCAUCUUUUUGUCACUCUGAUCAAGACCAGACUCUCCAGGAGAGACUCGAAUUGGUCUAUGGCACAUAUGUACUAUCUUAAAGCAAAAACAACAACAACAACAACAAAAAAAACCAGACAAGAUAGAGAACUUCUACAAGACAGCAUGAACUGAGGAUGGAUCAUUCUCCAAAGGCAAUUUAGAAACUGUCACUAGAGGGAGGGAACUAUGCAUGGUGCGCCUAGGCCUAUAUAAGUGUAUUAGUCCAAUAAGAUACAUAGAGAUACAGAGAAAGUGAUUUGUUACGCAGAAUUGGCUCACAUAAUUAUAGAGGCAGAGAAGAUCCAGUUUUUGCUGUCUGCAAGCUGGAGCCUAGGAAAGGUAUAGUUUCACUCCAAAUCUGAAGGCUUGAGGGGCCGGGGAUUUACCUCAGUGGUUCUGCUGCCUACCUCGCAAGCGCAAGGUCCCGAGUUUGAUCCCCAGUAAGAACAACAAUAAAAAAGUGUACCAAAUCUGAAGGCCUGAG